CUGGUGAAUGACACAGAUGGAGAUCCUUAUGUGGUCAAACAGAUGAAUUCCAGAGAUGGGGAGGAGCUGGAUGCAGUCAGAAAGGAAGUUGAGAUCCUGAAAACUCUAAACUUUGGAUAUAUUGUUACUUACGUAAAUUCAUUUGAAGAUAAAGAAGCGGGACGCAUUUAUAUUGUGAUGGAGUAUUGUGAAGGAGGUGAUCUUUCAAAAGUCAUGGAAACACAGAAAGAAG